CAUAUUUGCUUUGGCCACUAGUGGACUUGUCACUUGAACAUAGACUUAUGUUGGGUCCUUGUUGAAAUGAAUGAUUCUGUCUGUCUUCUUGAGGAGACUGUAUGGUAAAAAAAUAUGGAGAGAGCUCCUACAGCAUGCCAUCCUCUUUGGAAACACACGCCACACAAAGACCUCAACCGAAGUCUGGUUUUUCUUAGAAAUAUUAGGGGUAUAUAUGUGUGUGUGUGUGUGUGUGUGUGUGUGUGUGUGUGUGUGUGUGUGUGUGUGUGUGUGUGGUGGGCAUGAGUUAGUCAAACAGAUUUUGGAUUUUGUAACAAAGCAGCAGCAGGUGGACUUGGGCACAGAGACAGAAGCAGAGUGUGUCAGUGCUGUACAGCUCUCAGCAGGAAGAUGAGCUCCAUCAAGAUAUGUUCCUAUUUUGUCAUUGUGACAGUGUUGUUGUGUGUAACCAGUUUGGUUGUAGCAGAUCCAGUGGGCCGGAUCCCCCGUCAGACAGCAGCCAGACAACAAGGGGGCGUCGUUCUUUUUUUCGUUUCCUUCCAGGGUAUCCUGAGAGAAAUCGAGUUCAACCCAAUCAUCUUCAAUCAGGUGUUGGUGAACCAGGGCUCCGCCUACAACAAUGACACAGGUGUGUUCACGGCACCGGUCGCUGGAAUCUACCAGUUCGUGUUUGCUGCUCAGCUCUGCCGCGGAGACCACAACAACUUGUGGAUCUUCAUGCUCAAGGGCUCCAAGGACAUGGCCUGUCAUGCUCAGGUUUCUGGUGGUGACACAACCCUGAACACCUGCUACCUCAUGGAGGAACUGAAGAAAGGUGACCAGGUGUGGGUAAAGCAGAAUGUGGGGAGUUGCGCCUGGGCCAGCACUCACUCCAAAACCAUCACCUUCUCUGGCGUCCUGUUGGCAAGUGAGGGUGUGUCCAUGCUUGGGGGGAAGUAUGGCUCCUGUCCACUGGCCAGCCUGAGCCACAAAAGGGAGAUGGUGUCCGGCUCUACAGGCCAGAGUGCCGCUUGGUCUAAUGUGGCCAUCACUCUGCUGCUCUGCUGUCUCCUCUGGGAUUAAUCAUGGAACAGCGACUGUAGAAACAUGGCAGUUCAACAUGGCAGACUUCACGGAAGGUGGCCCUCGCAUAUCACAUUCUCCUCUUUCACAAUGUAGUGACAUAUAUCUGAACAUCUGUUUACUUUCUUUCAAUUCUACAGUAAAAGCUAAUGGUAAAUACAGAGAACUGCUAUCUGUUGUUUUUAGAUCAUUUUGAUAAUCACCUCACAAUUAGUCGCUCCCAACCUGGGGGUCGCCAACACUAGGGGUCGCCAAAGCCUCAUGCCUUCUUGAUUUUAAGGUGUGUACGGAAAGUAGGCCUGUAUCUCAGCAUUUGGUUCACUUCUGUGAAGAAAAGUAAGGGUAUUAGAAAGGAGUGAAAGCUCACCGAGGAGAACUAGGCCGAUGAAGAGCAAAGAGCACAACUCCUCAUAAACUUGACGGUUUGUGGGAGGGUCUUAUGGAGUCAUAGCAGAGAGCGAGGCGGAAGGAUUUGCAUACGUUUUGGCUACUGCAGCUUUAAUAUAGCUGGAAACAGGGGGCUGUAAAACCAUGACAACAAGACAAUGAGCUAAAAAAGACUGAAAAGUGUGUUGAUCACAACCAUCGACAUAAAAGAUGGAUUUUGCGUCUCCACUUCCUCACGCUGUACAAAAAUGAAGCCAAAAUAUCCCGGAUACGGCCGCUGCUACCUUGCUCAGGUGACGUCAUUCAGAGCCAGUCUGGCACCGUGAUAUUGCAGUCCCGCCCAUACGCCCGGCCAACUCAAUCGUGAGCAGGACUCAGCUGUCAAUCAUGACGUGAAACCCCUUUUUAUAGCUUUUAAUAAUUAAAACUGAACCUAUCAGAAAAAUGAACACUAGAACAUACGUCAGUUUGAUGAAAACUAAAAAGACAGAAACCAUCUUUGGUGUAUUCUGUUGGUCUAUCUUUGGUCUAUCGUUUAUUUGACGUGUACUUUUAGUACUUUUAGUUGUCCCAUCUGCUAACAUGGAGGCAGCAGGC
rnacentral:lncRNA from 1 species